AUGUGGAUGCUUACUAAAGACGGAAAAUUCUCUGUUAAGUCUCUAUAUAAUUUCCUGAUUAAAACUGAUAUAGGUUUCCCACACAAAUUUCUGUGGAAAAUUAAAAUUCCAGCUAAGAUCAAGAUGUUCUUUUGGCUUCUUGUGAAAGAAAGUAUCUUGACAAAAUAUAAUCUGAUACGAAGAGGAUGGAAAGGGGAUAAGCUAUGUGUUUUUUGUGGAAAGGAGGAAAAUAUCAACCAUUUAUUUUUCACUUGCUCGGCUGCUAGAUUAAUAUGGAGUCUAGUUAAAUGCUCAUUUGAUCUCAAAACUACUCCUCAAAAUCUGAGUGAUUGUUUAAAUGUGUGGAUCAAAACAUUCCAGAAACCACAAAAACAACUUGUGUUGAUUGAGAUUUCUGCUCUGUUUCUGUCCAUUUGGAAAUGUAGAAAUGAUAUUGUGUUUAGAUAA
rnacentral:rRNA from 1 species